UACGUAGGGGGCUAGCGUUGUCCGGAAUCAUUGGGCGUAAAGGGUGCGUAGGCGGGUUUUUAAGUCAGGGGUGAAAUCCUGGAGCUCAACUCCAGAACUGCCUUUGAUACUGAAGAUCUUGAGUCCGGGAGAGGUGAGUGGAACUGCGAGUGUAGAGGUGAAAUUCGUAGAUAUUCGCAAGAACACCAGUGGCGAAGGCGGCUCACUGGCCCGGUACUGACGCUGAGGCACGAAAGCGUGGGGAGCAAACAGG
rnacentral:rRNA from 1 species